rnacentral:rRNA from 1 species
GUCUAUGGCCAUGCCGCCCUGAACAAGCCCGAUCUUGUCUGAUCUCGGAAGCUAAGCAAGGUCAGGCCUGCUAAACAGGGUCAGGCCUGGUUAGUACUUGGAUUGGAGACCAUGUAGGAAGACCAGGUGCUGUAGGCA